CCCCAGAUGUUGCUGAACUACAACUCCUUUUGAUUCUUUGAAUUACAUAGAUAACCAGAGAAUCAUGGGAGUUGUAGUUCAGCAACAUCUAGGG